rnacentral:rRNA from 1 species
UACGUAGGGUGCGAGCGUUGUCCGGAAUUAUUGGGCGUAAAGGGCUCGUAGGCGGUUUGUCGCGUCGGGAGUGAAAACUCAGGGCUUAACCCUGAGCCUGCUUCCGAUACGGGCAGACUAGAGGUAUGCAGGGGAGAACGGAAUUCCUGGUGUAGCGGUGAAAUGCGCAGAUAUCAGGAGGAACACCCGUGGCGAAGGCGGCCUUCUGGGCCUUACCUGACGCUGAGGAGCGAAAGCGUGGGGAGCGAACAGG